rnacentral:rRNA from 1 species
GACGAACGCUGGCGGCGUGCCUAAUCCAUGCAAGUCGAACGCAGUGGGGACGGGUGAGUAACACCUGGGUAACCUCCCAUCAGAGGGGAUAACACUUGGAAACAGGUGCUAAACCGAUAUUGAUGUAUGGACCCGCGGUGCAUUAGCUAGUUGGUGAGGUAACGGCUCACCAAGGCCACGAUGCAUAGCGGGCCUGAGAGGAGGAUCGGCCACACUGGGACGGAGACACGGCCCAGACUCCUACGGGAGGCAGCAGUAGGGAAUCUGCGGCAAUGGGCGAAAGUCUGAUCGAGCAACGCCGCGUGAGUGAAGAAGGUUUUCGGAGCGUAAAGCUCUGUUGUGAGAGAAGCGGUAUCUAACCAGAAAGCAACGGCUAACUACGUGCCAGCAGCCGCGGUAAUAC